rnacentral:rRNA from 1 species
GACGAACGCUGGCGGCGUGCUUAACACAUGCAAGUCGAACGGUGAAGGGGCCUGCUUUUGUGGGUCCUGGAUGAGUGGCGAACGGGUGAGUAACACGUGAGUAACCUGCCCCCUUCUUCUGGAUAACCGCAUGAAAGUGUGGCUAAUACGGGAUAUUCUGUGCUGCUGCAUGGUGGGUGUGGGAAAGAUUGCGCCCUUUUUGGGUGUUUUUGGUGGGGGAUGGGCUCGCGGCCUAUCAGCUUGUUGGUGGGGUGAUGGCCUACCAAGGCGGUGACGGGUAGCCGGCCUGAGAGGGUGGACGGUCACACUGGGACUGAGACACGGCCCAGACUCCUACGGGAGGCAGCAGUGGGGAAUAUUGCACAAUGGGCGCAAGCCUGAUGCAGCGACGCCGCGUGAGGGAUGGAGGCCUUCGGGUUGUGAACCUCUUUCGCCAGUGAAGCAGGCCUGCUCCUUGGUGGGUGGGUUGACGGUAGCUGGAUAAGAAGCGCGGCUAAUAC